UACGUAGGGUGCGAGCGUUAAUCGGAAUUACUGGGCGUAAAGCGUGCGCAGGCGGUUCGUUUAGUCAGAUGUGAAAGCCCCGGGCUCAACCUGGGAACUGCAUUUGAAACUGGCGGGCUUGAGUAUGGCAGAGGGGGGUGGAAUUCCGCGUGUAGCAGUGAAAUGCGUAGAGAUGCGGAGGAACACCGAUGGCGAAGGCAGCCCCCUGGGCCAAUACUGACGCUCAGGCACGAAAGCGUGGGGAGCAAACAGG
rnacentral:rRNA from 1 species